GCAUUUCAUUAGUGAUGUUCAUUUUAUAAAAUCAGCAGAUCUCUGUUGGUUUUCAUCAUUUAAUUGAAGCUUUUGAGGUCGAUUUAAGGUAAGAGUAUAGGAAAAAUUUAAUUAAAUAACUUAAUUUUAGUGUUGUCAACGGUUAAACGGUUAAUCGGUCGAACGACCGAAUACCGAAUACCAAAAACGCUAACCGGUUAACCGGACUUUUUUCAAUUUUGAUAGAUUCGAUAUAAAUCUGUAUUGAAAUCAUAGAAAAUGUCGUCGUGGUAAUUAAUUUGACAGAUCAAUUGUCCAGUAUAUUGAUUGCUAUUGUUAAUCCUAAAAACAUAAAAUUGAUUAGAGUUCCGGGC
rnacentral:lncRNA from 1 species